rnacentral:lncRNA from 1 species
UGAUACUUGACUGACCACAUAAACUGCAGACAUUAUUAUGGUAUCACUAAAUGGUAUGUGGAUUCAUAUUUUUUUUCAUAUUUUUACUUAUUUCGCUUCCAAGUUAGUCCAAUAGUCGAACACGAAGUCGACACGCAUGAUCCACCAACCAAGGGAUGUCCAAGUAGUGGGCAGCCUGAAACGACAAUAUGAAACAUAUUUUGAGUCAAAGCUUUUCGUUCCCACUAUUAAAAAAAUUAUAUGUGUAUAUGAUGAUUCUAGACACCUAAACCGACACUAAUUCCUUAUAGUUCAAUUGUUCAUGCCUACGAUCAAACUUCUGCUUUUAAGAAGACCAUCUACAGCCUGAUAAGCUUAUAACACAAUUUAGUUACAUUGUAGGUGAUUGAUUUCAUACUUCACAAGCCUAGUUCAUAGUUCACAAUCCUAGGGCACUAUAAGCUAACCUAGUUCAAGAAAUUGCACCUAGGAGGUAAAAAACCCUAGUCGGCGGAAAACCCCCGCCUAGUUCUAGGCAGAUGGAAGGGGGAGUCGGAGCAUUUAAGCGAUAAGGAAUCGACAUGGAAGCGAAUUCAGCGCGAUCAAGGCAUUUCACCAUAUAAAAUAAAAUAAAAUUAUGUAUUGAAAGUUAAAACUCUAAUCCUAAUUUAGAUUUCUUUUGACUCUGCUCUCCUCUUCGCCUAGGCAUUUCACUGUGUUAUGUUUAUUGUAUUCUAUUUCAGAACAUGAACAUUGGUUAUCUUCAAUUUGAACGAUAAAUCUGUGCACUUAUGUGAAUUUAUAAAUUAUUAUGUUUGAUUUUAAUUAAUUAACCCUAAAUAUUGUAUUAUAUCUUUUUAACCCUUAAUCAAGCCUAGGCAACUACUAAUCGUGCUAGGCACUAGUCGGGAACUCACCACCUCAUUUAUACCUUGAGCCAUCUUGAACAUUAUGUAUCAGAAAAAUUCACAUAUAAGCAGAACACAAACAAAAUUCAUUCAAGAACCUGUAACAGAAUGCAGUAUAUUUACCAUUAGAAGCCUGUAAAAUGUGUUCCGGUUCACUACCUCCUCGAGACUAAAGUGGUCGGAGCGGGCAUAUCGUAUACAGUACUCGACCACCUUCUCGAGAGUGUGGUCGCUGAUAUUUUUUAAUGAGAGUCCCAACCAAAAUUGAUCAUACCCUUAAGCAGGCCGACUGCUUGGCCACAACUUUGUCCAUUAGAAACGACCGGUCGUCGUCGCUUUUCAAGGUGAUAAUUUCCGACCCAUAUGCUUUUGUUCCAAUUCGAUUCAUUCGAGUCCUUGAUAAACACUAUUCUGUAGAUUUUCACUGAUGGGAUCACGAAGAGAGCUUAAUAAGAAGAAAACGUGGCUGCUGCGUCUAGGGUUCUGUAAUGAUUUGGACUUAUUUAUUGCUUUUAAAUAGUUUAGUGGCUGAACUGUUAUUUCUACCUAAAGCGGUGUUUUGUAAUUGGGCAACAGUUUGCCGUUAUCCUUGUAGCAACGACUAGAAAAAGACACUCUGUCCCUGUACUCUUUUUAGCUGUGUGAAUUCCUAAGGACAAGCAUAUAUGAAAUUACCAAAAAAAUUCUACUUAUUCUCUCAAUCCUCUCUUCUCCUCUAAACCCUAAUCUUCUCUUCUUCUCUUCCGUCGUAGCUCCGGCUAGGAUCAUUACAACUGGUAUUAGAGCACCCUUGAAGAUCUCAUAUCCAGAAUGCUAAAGCUAAACCCCACCUUGAAUGAAGCCUAUUUCAUUAAAUAGCUUUAUAAGUGGGCUAGAUGAAGAAACCCCACCUUGCUUAUACCUGCAAGCAAGAAUGGAAGAGGCUACCAUGGAAGUAAGAAAGAAAAAGGUAAACCUAAAUGGCCUUCAGGAGAACCCUUUAGGAAACCUCUAGUGCACAGACCAGCACCACCAAACAACAGAGAAAACAAGGGGUUAUGUUACAAGUGUGGUGAUCGAUAUUUCUAUGGCCAUGUGUGCUCAAAGUGGAGAAUCAACACGUUAGAUGGUGACAUCUAAAUGGAGGAGGAAGAAGAAGAUGUAGAGGAUGAAGAACUAGAGAAAACAAGGGUUCUUACGCAGUUAGAAGGGGGAGCCAACCUGAACUUAGCCAAUAAGGUGAGAGGGAAAACGGGGAAACAUCCCCUACUCAUCUUGGUGGAUACUAGAGCAAGCCAUACAUUUUUUAUCCAGAAGUAUGCUGAGGAGCUACACCUUAAGAUGCAACCAGCAGUACCAAUGAGAGGAUUUGCAUGGACAAUGUAAGGGCAAAAAUUCAGCUUUGACAUCAGAUACUAGCUCUCAAGGAGAAUGAUUUGAUCCUAGGCUUUAAUUGGCUUAAAAAAGUCAGCGUUGUUGCAGAUGGACUUUGAGAGGUUGAACCUAGCAUUUGAAGGGGAAGGCAAGCCUAUGCUUUUACAGGGCAUCGAGGAAACAAGCCAGUGUAAAUCUAUAACUUGCAAGGCCAUAUACAAAGGCCUUAGGAAGGGAGAACUGGAUAGUAUGGAUGGAUUUUUACUGCAAACGAGUGAAGUACCAAAUGGAGCCAAAACAGAAGAAGUACAUGAACCUGUAUAGGCCAUCAUAGCCCAGUUAAGGAUGUGUUUGCAAAACCAACAACGAUGCCACCAGAGAGAUUAUUUGACCACCACAUCCCUUUGCAGCCAAAUGGCAAACCGGUGAAUUUGAGACCAUACAGGUACACUCCAGUCAGAAGGAUGAAAUAGAAAGGAUGGUGAAGCAAAUGAUGAAGGCAGGAUCAUACAGGAAAGCCAUAGCCCAUUUGCGUCUCCUGUGUUGCUGGUUAGGAAGAAGGACAAUACUUGGAGGUUCUGUAUUGAUUACAGACAACUCAACAGCCUAACCACUAAGGACAAGUUUCUCAUACCUCUUAUUGAGGACUUGCUAGAUGAGUUGAAUGGUUCUGCAUUCUUCACUAGACUGGAUCUUACGGCUGGAUACCACCAGAUACGGAUGCAGCCUGCAGAUCAACACAAAAUAGCUUUGAGAACCCAUCAUGGCCGUUAUGAGUUUAGGGUGAUGCCCUUUGGACUCACAAAUGCACCAACUACAUUCCAGUCACUGAUGAACCAAAUGCUGGCACCCUAUCUCAGGAGGUUUGUGUUGGUAUUCUAUGAUGACAUACUGGGUUACAGCUCAACCCUGGAAGCACACAAAGGAGGAUGUAGCCAAAACCCUGCAGAUCCUUAAAAGGCACCAGCUCUAUGCAAAACAGUCUAAGUGCCCCUUUGGUCAGCAACAAAUCAAGUACUUGGGGCAUGUUAUAUCAGGUGCAGGGGUAGCUACGGAUCAAGGCAAGAUUCGAACCAUGAAGGAUUGGCCAGUACCAAAGAACAUUAGGGGUCUCAGAGGGUUUUUGGGUCUUACAGGGUAUUACAGAAAGUUCAUAAGGAAUUAUGGGAUCAUUAGCAAACUUCUCACGGAGUUGCUCAAGAAAGACGAAUUUCAGAGGAGUGAAGCAGCCACCCAAGCAUUUGAAAGGCUCAAGUUAGCCAUGACUAAGGCGCUGGUUCUAGCACUUCUAAACUUCCAGCUACCAUUUAUCCUAGAAACGGAUGUGUCCGGGACUGGAAUAGGGCCAGUGCUACAACAGCAAGGGAGACCUAUUGCCUACUCGAGCCAGGCAUUGAGCCCUAGGAACCAAGGCUUAUCUAAAUACGAAAAGGAGUACAUGGCAGUGAUUUUUGCGUUAACAGGUGGAGACACUAUCUAGAACGAAGACCAUUCACAAUAGUGACUGACCACGAGAGUCUUAAGCCUCUAUUGGAGCAAAAGAUUCAUACCAACAUACAGAAGAAGGGAUUGGUGAAGCUGCUUGGACUAAAUUUCAAAAUCAAGUUCAGACAGGGGAAGGUUAUCAAGGUGGUAGAUGCUCUCUCAAGGAAAUAUGAAGAAGCUGAGUGUUCCAGCAUAGCAGCUACCUUACCAGAAUGGAUGUUAUGAACGUUGAGAGCGGCUAAGAAGGAGACCAAGGAAUCCAAGCCUUGAUAGUGGAGCAUACGGUGAACACAGGAGGACCAUCACUCUACUCCUACUCUGACGGCUUGCUGAAGUACAAAGGAAGAAUUGUAGUUGGGAGUAAAGGGGGCCUCAGGGACCAGCUGAUGGAGUUAUUCCAUGCCUCGCAAGUAGGGGGUCACUCAGGAGGACUAGCCACUUACAAAUGCAUCAAUGAAGAAAAUGAUAUUGGAGUGGGUGGCUAAAUGCCAGGUAUGCUAGCAAUGUAAGGCUGAAAACAUACCCUACACAGGGUUGCUUCAGCCACUUCUAGUUCCAGAACAAGCAUGGAAACAUAUAUCCAUGGACUUCAUAGAAGGGCUUCCAAAAUCAGAGAACAAGGAGACCAUAUUGGUAGUCAUAGAUAGAUUAACCAAGUAUGGUUCACUUCAUUGCUUUGAGUCACCCUUACAUAGCAGUGACAGUGGCUCAAGCCUUCAUGAUCAUAUCUUUAAAUUGGAUGGAAUGCCUUCCACAAUCAUAUCAGAUAGAGACACCAUCUUCACAAGUGCCUUGUGGAAGGAAUUGUUCAAACUACAAGGGGGCCAAGCUUCACUACUCAACAGCUUACUACCCCCAAACUGAUGGACAAAUUGAGAGAUUGAACAGAUGCCUAGAGGACUACCUAAGAUGCAUGAUCAUUGGCUCCCCAAAGAACUAGCAAAGUGGUGGUACAACACCAACUACCAUAACCGUAUGAAGAUCACACCCUUUGUGGCAUUGUAUGGUUACCCUCCGUCAGUGUUUGAUUCCAGGAUCCUCUACCUACCACAGUAGCAGCUGUGGAAGACAAGCUUCAACACCAGCACCAGACACUAGACCAACUCAGGGAUAGUUUGGCUAGAGCUCAGAACAGGUAGAAACAACAAGCUGAUAAACACCGUUCUGGGAGAAAUUGCAAGGUUAGGAAACAGGUUUGUUUGAAGUUGCACCCUUACAGGUAGAAAUCAAUAGCUCAACGCAACAAUCCGAAGCUGGUACCAAGAUUUUAUGGCCCUUUCACGAUACUGAAGAAGAUUGAAGAGACAGCUUAGGAGCUGCAACUGUCUGCCACUACAGCUAUACAUCCAGUUUUUCAUGUCUCAUUGUUGAAGAAAGCGGUUGGAAAUGCAGGUAUCCUCAAUCCUAACUUGCCUAAUCUGGAUGGUAGUGGAAUGAUGAAACAGUUGCAUGUGGCUAUACUAGCUAGAAUGUUCAUCAAUAAGGGAAAUCAGGCGGUGACUCAAGUUUUAGUUCAAUGGGCUCAUUAGAGUGAAGCAGGCGCCAGCUGGGAAGAUUGGCACCCCUUCAAGGACCAAUUUUCAGAAUUCAAGGACGCAUGAAACGUUUUGAGGCAAGAUGAAUUUUAGAGGAAAGGAUUGUAAUGAUUUAGACUUAUUUAUCGCUUUUAAAUAGUUUAGUGCCUAAAUCCCUAUUUCUACCUAAAGCGGUGUUUUGUAAUUGGACAACGAGUUGUCGUUAUCAUGUAGCAAAGGACACUCUGCCCUUACAGCCCUUUUUAGCUAUCAAAAUUCCUAACAACAAUAGAUAUAGAAUUACCAAACAAUAUAUCAAAAUCUGGAAACUCAAUCAACCUCCAACAAUGGACUUGUAAACAUUUACAGAAGAGCUGCAAAAUCGUAGUUGUAGUACAACAAAACCGCACUCACCUCCGCGUCUCUCUCCGAUCACAUCCCCCUUUCCCUUUCUUCCCUAACCCACCUCUGGGAACUCUCCCAGAGCCAACAACAGCUCGUUGACGAAAUCCCGCUUGUUAUUGGAAGUUUAACGAACCUUGUCACUCUCGACCUUCUUCAACAUUUUCUCA